AGUGCCGCCCGGCCCUAAUUCGGACCCCUCCCAUCCUCCUCCGCCCCUCUCUGGGUCAGUGGCUGGGGUCCCGGGCUGGACUUGGGGCAGUGGGCGCGUGUGGUGGGGUUAGAGGGUCUGGGCGCGGACGGAGCUCUGCAGGCCUGGUCCGGCUCAGCAGCUGCCGUGCCGCCCAAGGCCCUCGGCGGCCCCAGGAGAGAGGUUAGGGCGGGUCCGGGGAGCGGUUCCGGGCCGCCCGGGCGCUCGUUCAGGUUUGUGAAGAUGAAGCACUGCAGGAAGGCCUUCUGAAGAUCAAGAAAAGGAAAAACAGAACAUUGCAGACUGAAAAAAACAAACAGGGCCACACUUGUGGCAUGUGGAAGUUUCCAGGCUUGGAGUCAAAUUGGAGCUGUAGCCAAUGGUCUACACCACAGCCACAGCAACAUGGGUUCCAAGCCACGUCUCCCACCUACACCACAGCUCACAGCAACGUUAGAUCUUUAAACUACUUAGCAAGGCCAAGAGUGGAACCCUGUCUGCAUGGAUACUAGUCAGUUCAUUACCGCUGAGCCAUUGCUGGAACUCUUGUUGAUGACUUGAAGAAUACAUUGAAGGUAGUAAAUACUUGUGAUGGACUCUUUGGAGAUGAGUAAAAUUUAGAAAUCAUGGUUUCUUCUAAAUUCGAAGAAGCUGAAGUUGGCUCUUUUUAUCCCAUUGUUAGUAGAUGUGCUCUCUACAGGUUUUUAAGAGUUUUGUUUGUUUUUGCGCUUUCUAUGAGUAUUUAGGUGAACCAACAUAAAUUUCUGGCUAUAGAAGAAAGGCUUGCUAAAGUGCAAUAUUUUUAUUGGAUGAUAUGACUUAUUAAAUGUUAAAAAUUCUUCCAUAUGUAAGAUAAACCAUUUUUGUAGCAUAGAUUGUGAUAUUAAAAAGUGCUUUACAUUUGUUUAGUUUGCUGAUUUAUACUGUUUGAAUUACUGGUCACCAUAUCUGAAUACUACUUCAGCAGUAGUUGCCUGGUGACCAGUGUACUUUGGUAUUUGAUCUGCUUUUAAGAAUCUCAACGGUGUUUGUAGAAUUAUAUUAUUUGUAUUAAUGUGUUCUUGAAUGUCAUUUAUGUCAACUAAUUUCUUUAGGUUAUAGAUUUCCGUUCUUUAGUAAAUAUAUAUUUUUCUCUUAUAAGGAAUGAGAUUCAUUUUAGUCAUUGUUUACUGGUAUGCAUUUUAUUUUUUCUUAGCUUUCACCUUGUGUUGAAGUGGUUUAAAAAAAAAAUUAAUGGUAGCUUAGCUACCACUGUUAAAAUGUGUUUCUUGUCAAGCUAUGAGUUUUAUGUUUGCUCUUCAAGGAAGAGAUGGCCAUUUUACAACUUGGAAAGGGGCUCAGAUAUUCAGUAACUUGCUCAAGUUAUUUCAUAGCUAAGGAAAAGAUAGAGGGAAUUGAAGGAGCUUUCCAUUUCAAAUCUGCUUUAAAGCCUACUCUCAUUCCAGGAUACCAUUUUUUUUUUUUUUUUUCUGAUUGUUAUUUUACCACUUAAAUCUGUUGGUCUUGGAGUUAGUUAAUAGUUAAUAUGUCAGACUGUGCUUGAUGCAUGUAGAAUACUGGUGCUGAAAGGGACCUGGAAUGACUCUUUCUAGGUAGAGAAGAUUAUACCUUAUCUAUUUACCUAAGAGGAUAAUUGCCUAUUUUGUUUAAAUUAACAGAAUAGUAUAUUAUAUGUUGCUUUAUGUACACAAAGCUGUUGACCCUGGCCAAAUUUGUUAAGGAAACUACAUUUUUUUCCCACCAUCUCUUUUUUCAAGUUUUCCCAUCUUCAGGAAUCUCAAGCCUUUUAGGAUAUUCUUGAGUCCAGCUUAUUAAUGAGAAAACUAAUCUAAGGAAUUGAUUUAUAUUAAUAACAUGGGUUAAUAAUUAAUGGUAGCUAUUAGUUGAUACACUCUAAGGGUAUCUUAGCAUUUUAAGAGAGAAUAUUGGUUGGUACUCUGUUUGAAGAAAUGGAUGGUGGGAUUUUUAUGCUUGUAUCCUGAUGGGCAAAACUUUUUAGGCAUAGAGGGCUCUUAAAAUCACUAUAUGUUAAGUUCCAGUAGUGUCUUAAAUGUAAACGUUUACAUAUUUCUUUUCCAUGAGAUGUUCAAUUACAGGUCCUUUCUGUAUUCUGUUUUGUAUAUUUAUUUGUACAGCAUCAUAGAAUUGGAAGGAGCAUCUCAAAAUUACUUAUUUCAGGCCCUCUGCCUUUUUUUGGUGAGUGCUCAGACAACUUGGGCUGUUGUAGAAACAGUCAAUAAAUUUAACACUCUUAAAAUUUCAUUUUGGAUAAAAAUGUUGUGAUCUGAUUUGUGUUUUGUUUUGAGAUAUCAUCAUGCCAUAGGAAAGGUAAGCAGUCUGUGUGGGCAGUUUCUUUGUGUUGGUAUUUACUGAGAUCAUUGGGUCAAUUACCUGGCUUCUAAGUAAGGAGGACAUAAACGACUGAAAUUGGGACCCCAGCAAAAGUAUCUCAAGAUAAUUUUACAAAAACCAAACGGUAGCUUGAAAGUUUUCAAGUUAAGUAUGUAUUCUGUAACAGUUAAUGUAAAAUCAGUCAAGUUUGUCUGUGGAUAAACAAUGCAGAAAUAUGUACAAAGUGCAUACUUUACAGAAUUUCUAGUGCAAAGAAUGCUGCUGUGUGCUAAUAGGUAUUCAUGCUUCAUGAUGAUGAGAAUGUGAAUGCUGAUUAAGUUCAAAAAAGAGCUAUAAAGUUGAUUUACUUUCCAGCUCUUGAAACGGAUGUAGUUUCCUUUAUGGAAAACGAACUGUGAUUAAAUCAAGAGAAUUUUAGUAUAAUGGUCUGAAGAUACAAAUAAUUGUGACUUAUACAAAUAAUUGUGACUUUAUUGUUGCAGGAGGGAUUUGAGUAUGAUUAAUUUUUUUCCUUUAUUUUUAUUAUAUUUUGAAUUGAGUUAUCAAAAUGUUGGAUGUCCUCUUUUUAAACUCAAGCAAAUGAAACCCAAAUUUUCUUGAGUGUGAAAAAGAUCAGUUAGGAGUUCUUUGGCCUUGAAUACAGUGGAAAUACUUGCUUAACUUCGUGAGUAGUUUAUAAUUAUGUACUUUCUAUAGUGAUGCAUUUAUUUCAGUCAUUUAUGAAACAAGUAUUUGUUGAGAGGCUACUGCAUACCAGGAACUUUGUUGAAUAUUGCAUACUCAAAUGAAUAGGGCAGACACAUCCUUAAAGAGAUGUUUGGGGUGGGAGGAGACAGACUUCUAAACUGAUAAUUAUAAUACAGUGUCAUAAAUGCUAGGUACAGUUACCACUGUGGGCAUCUGGAGUUUACUACCACUGGGGAACUCUCAGAGACCAAAUAGAAUAUACCUCAGAGUUCUCCCAAGCCAAGAGCAGGGGAGCUGCAGGUGUUUACCCACCAACUUCCUAGCCAUCAUUGACAUUAACUCUGGCAUUUCUGGCUUGCCCCAAGUACAAACUUGAGCAUGUUCCUACAGUCAGAAAGCAGUCCACAGCAGGGUAUUAUAGGUUUCAGAAUGAAGCGUCUUCCUGCAUAAAGGUGAGUGUCCACUGUAUAUGGGCAGGACACCAAUGGGAUUGGUUACCAGUAUCAGGCAUUUAUACAGUAUAUUAUCUGUUGUGUGCCAGGUGUUCAUUGCUCUAAAUGCUUUACAUAUCCAAACUCAUCAGUUCUCACAGUUCUCUGUGAGGCAAAUACUGUCAGUGUCCUCAUUUUACAGAUGAAGAAUUAGAGCAGAGAGAGGUUAAAUAACUUAUCCCUGGUCAUACAACUAUAACGUUAGAACUGGUAUUUGAACCCUCCUGGUCUAGUACAUAGUCCACACUCUUAAUGCAUAUAAUGGUCUGCCUUUGGAGCAAUACAAAAGCAGGACCUUUUGACUCUUCUGUUUUUCCCUGGUAACUGCUUCCUCUUUCUCCCUUCCUCUAAUUUCUUUCCUGCUAGUGUUCUUUACUUCCUUCCUGUUUAUAGCUUGCUCAUCUCCUGUUUCUAGAGCAGUGCAGCUGUUCUUCCUUCCAUUUUUAUACUCAGGGCUAUCAAAUAAUUCUUGCUAAGGCAUUAACUGAUCUUUCUGAUGUUUUGAUGAAGGCUUUGAGUUUGAUAUCAUUAGGUAUUUGCAUUUUAACUUUAUAAAAGGACAGGGAUUUAAAAACUAUAGAAAGAAAAACUUGGUGGUAGAAUGACAGAUGACCAAGUUGAUUCUUUUGGGUUGGGAGAUACCUAUUCGUAGGCCGUAGUUAUAAGGAGAGGCCAAGAGAUGUGUGCUUGGGCAGGAAAAGCCCCUUUCUCACCUGUUGUGUCCUGUCUUCCAACCACUACCCUCCGUUUUUCUUUUUAAAUUGUGGGAAGUAUUACAUGACAGUUGUAAAACAUUUAAAUAAUAGGUAUGAAGAGUGAAAAAAAGUCCUGCUUUACUCAUCCUUUUCCUUCCCUUAAACCGUCUCCCAGUGUUCUCCUUUGAGGUGACCACUCAUGGCUUUGCUAAUGUUUCUGCAGAUUGGUAAAAGUAGGUAUAUAUACACACACCUUACAUAUGCCAUAUAUAUCUAUAUGGUAGUACAUAUGUACUACAUACAAUAAGAUAGUCUUUUCUUUUUAAACAUAAGUGAACUACUAUUCAGUUUGUUGCUCAACUUGUUUUUCUUCUGCUGACAUUAUGUAUAUCCUAGACAUUUCUCUGUAUUAUCCCCUGUAGAACUAUUUUGUUCUUUUAAAAAAUGCUGCAUAUUAUUUUCUAUGGCAAGAGUGUACCAUAAUUUACUUAACUGUUGUUUCCCUAUUAUUUGACAUUUUCCCCUAUUUUCUCAGUCUGAUAUAUAAUGCUGCAGUGAUUAUCCUUGAAAAAACAUCAUGUCUAAGUGUUUCUCAGAAAUAAAUAUAGCCCUAGAACUGAAAUAUUAAGUCAAAGUCAAAGCAUGCUCAUUUUUAUAGUAUCUGAUAAAUUGUUCUUCUUAAGGCAGUUUACUCCCCUUGACUAUGUAUGACUACCCAUUUCCCCAUACUUUUGUCAAUAUAGUUGUUUGUAAUCUUUCUAAUUUUUGCAUUUAUGACUAGUGGCUGAUAAAUUGUGAUUGUCCACAGUUGCUAAUGACAUUGAUUAUAUUUGUUAAUUGCAUGUUUAUAUAUUUCCUCAUAUUUCUAUUAGAUUAUUUGUAUUUUUGGUAUUGAUUUGUAGGAUGACCUCUAUUCUUGUAGGACCAAAUCAAGCUUUGGUCUUCUAUCUCUAAGACUCUGAUGAUGCAAGGACUAAAUGUUUUAUUCCUUUCUGUUAAGGGGAGAGAAAAUAGGUUAAAUGUAGUAUUUGAAAAUAUUUUAAAAGUAAUUCAUUUUGGAAAGUAGUCUUGGAGUUCCUGUCGUGGCUUAGUGGUUAAUGAACCCGACUAGGAUCCAUGAGGACAAGGGUUCGAUCCCUGGCCUUGCUCAGUGGGUUGAGGAUCCAGCAUUACUGUGAGCUGUGGUGUAGGUCACAGACGAAGCUCAUAUCCAGCUCAUAUCCCGUUUUGCUGUGGCUGUAACGUAGGCUGGCAACUACAGCUCAGAUUCGACCCUUAGCCCGGCAACUUCCAUAUGCCGAGGAUGCAGCCCUAAAAAGACGAAAGAAAAAAAAAAA
rnacentral:lncRNA from 1 species